CGUGUAGGUGGCUAAUUAAGUCAGGUGUGAAAUCCUUCUGCUUAACGGAAGAAGUGCACUUGAAACUGCUUAGCUAGAGUACGGGAGAGGAAGGUGGAAUUCCUGGUGUAGAGGUGAAAUUCAUAGAUAUCGGGAAGAACACCGGUGGCGAAGGCGGCCUUCUGGCCCGAUACUGACGCUGAGACGCGAAAGCGUGGGGAGCAAACA
rnacentral:rRNA from 1 species